UUCCAGCUCAGGAUGUUAAUGAUUCUCUGAUUUUAUGAAAUCUCUGCCAUUGUCUCCAAAAAAACUUCAGUCAUAUUCUUUAGUACAGGAAUACAUCCAGCUCACAUUGGGGCUGGGGAAGAGACCAUCUAAAAGUAACAUAUAAGUCCCUAAAAUAAGACAGAUCUACCUGAACUGUGGAAAACUUAAGAUCAGCUGGGAUGGCACCAGAAGUUCAUGUUCCUCAGGUGGGUGGUAGAGAGCAGCUGCUUCCCAAAAUUGGGAACAGUGUGCAGCUACUGUAAAGGAAAGGGCUGCUGGAGGCAGCACAGUCACCUUCUUCAGAUGGCCCUUGGUUCACACAUCUGGGUCACAAAUAGCGAGCACUCCUGCCCAUCACUACAGAUAUCUAAGCAAUAAAUGGAACUACAGCUGCUAGGAAGAUGAUUUAAAGACAGGGAGGACAAAUGAGAGAAAUUCUGUAAGUGGUUGUUAACCAGACCAGAAAAUAAAGGUUAGGCAGAGAUGUGCUUGGGUGCACAUGAGGUACUGCACCCAGUAUCCUAGUACUGCAUAAAAAACAGUAAGGUUCUGGUUCUCAGGCUCAUGCAGUCUUCUAUAUCCUAAAUACAUCACAGCACACAAAAAAUUCAAAUAGAGGUGACUCUCCCCUACUUCAUAUUGCUGAUGACAGUUCAUCCUGCAGCCGCAUAUGUCUCUUCACUAGGAGUGAAAUGAGGAUUCAUCCUGCAGGCAAUGCAGAAGGGGACGCCACCUACGCAAACAGUCUCUGCCCGGGGAAAGCUCAUGCAAGCAGAGACAAUCUUGUUACUCAUGACCUUAAUGUAGGAGAAAGGGCAUUCUCCAGCCACUGGAGAUGUAAGGCCAUGACUGUCAUUUUGUCUGGGUACAAUUUUAGCCCUCACAAUGGAUUCACUGACGUACUGUCACUGCAUCAGUGCCAUGUAUAUAUUAAUAUAAAAAGGGCACAGUGGGCUCCAGUCUCCUCAGUUUUCAACAUCUUUCCUUCCACUGCAAAGGGUGGGGGAAAGAGGGAAGUUUUGGAAUGUGCAUAAGAAAAAUAUUUCAGAGGGCCUUCAGGUGCUACACAACAACCUAUUUUCUUCAGAAAACUGUUGUCCUUACAUACACUGACAGCCAGAGCACCUGUCAGCAGUGACACUCGCAGCAGAGGCUGGAAGAAGGAAGUCACCAAAGAGAGAAGAGAGUCGGGAACUGUUUCAUGCAGUGACACUGAGUCUGAGAGAAUUAUGGACAUGGCUUUUCCAGUGAGUAGUCCUUAGCAGACAGAUGUGGAAGUGUGGGCAGAGGCCACCCAAUUCCACCCAAGUUACACAGACCUUGUUGUAGGGAGUUGUAGAUACAUUGUUGGAGGUAGCCAUGUCACUACAAGGUGAUGGUAUGUGUCUGUGGAGCAGUCAAGUAGCAAUGUGAAGAUACACAUCCUGGAACACCAAAAAAGUAAACAAAGCUUUAGCUCAGCUGGGUGGUGUAUCUGUAUGUCAACAUGCAGUACACAAAGGAAUGAACACAGGCACACCUAUACCCAACAGGGCUAAAAUGUCCUCAAUGCAAUGAGAAGUGAGCCCAUUCAUCCAUCUCAUGGUAAAAUAGCAGGAAUAAAAUGGCAGGUGCCAGGCAGAGCAGUAGGACAGCACGCAGGAACUGAGGGUGAAAGGAGAGAGGGAUGAGAUGAUCAUGGGAUGCAAAAUAUGAGCCAAACCCAGGUUCAUGGGCAGAAUGAUAAUUGAACUAGAAAAAAACUGACCAAAGGCUUAGACACACUAUUUGCAGUUCAUAACAACAGCCAGUUUUGACAGGAUACACAGCAGGGAAAAAAGGCAGCAAGAUUAGAUGUGAUUUUUCCAGUUGGAGGGGGAAAAAGAGGGGGAGGCUUCCUUCCUGCUGCAAUGAGGAAAACAAUAAUUUUUGAAAGUGCAAGGAGAGGACAAACCGAUGGUUGUGGAAGUUUUCCAAAUACAUGUUAACAGUUGCUCUUAGUAAAAGUGGCUUGAACAGGGUGGAGAAGUCUUUGUUGAAAUUAGGGAGAGGGUAUGACUAGUUCCCAGAGCUGAUAGGAAGGCAAAGGUCUAGAUAUUCUUGCUUACUGGUGAAAUCUAUCUAAGAUGAAAAGGAGGCUCUUGAGUGCAGAGCAACCCCUUUAGCAAUGCAUCUCCAUUUAGCUUCCCCAGAAUUCCUCUGCAAGCCUCAUCUGUGGAAAUGUUCUCCCCAAAAUACAGCCAGCAGGCCUGGGAAUGGCUGUGUUCUCAUGCUUCACAUAACAUCUCCAGAGGGCUUAUCUGCACUGUUUUCUUUAUGCUCAGUCCCUUGAUGAUUUGCUUUUUUCCUAGGAGCAGGAGAAGAGAAGGGGGAGGUACGCACUGGCUGAAGGUGAAAUCAAGCUAAAUUCACACAGGUCCUGCUGACUAUCCAUCUUCUCUGGUUGGUUAUUCACCUUUCCUCCUGCACUGAUGGACACUGAUGUUCUUCCCACAUUUCUAUGGUGAAAUUUCUUGAUCUGCACAGUAUUUUAGAGGCUUGGGCAGGAGUUACUUAAAUAAGGAAGAACUGUGGUGGGCUAAUGUCCCCCAGGUGGGAUGCUUGGGAAGGUGCAGUAAAUGAUCAGGUUUCUUAAUACUAUCCAUGUAUUUGCAUAACAAAUUACUAAGAUCACUGCAGCUGGUAAGAAGUGGAUUCCAGAGAUUGUUCUUUAGGAGUUCCUUGGUUACUAAGGUGCUGCAGGCUGUACCACACGACCCCCACCCCCAACAUUAGCCUCGAUGCUGCCUCAGGGAAGGUGAUGAAAAGACAAGGCACUAUCCUGGCUCCUCCCACAGCUGUAAUUGAAGCAAGUUCUGCAGGUUUUUCUCUAGCCAUGAAUCUGCCAUGAAUCUGCCAUGAACAUAAUGGCUUGCACAUGCUCCUCAUGGAGAGAGAGGAAGGAGAAGUAUUCCAAGCCCCCACCUGGAGUACUGCAUCUGGCUUUGAAGCCCCCAGUAUAAGAAGGACAUGGAUCUGUUGGAGCAAGUCCAGAGGAGGGCCAUGAAGAUGACCAGAAGGCUGGAGCAUCAGCAAAAAAAUAGGCACUAAAUAAAAAACUAAACCAGAAACCGAGACCAACUUAAGCCAAUUUGUCAGAAUUAAACAACCAGAACUUCCAGAUACUAUUCACAGAUUCAAACCUGGCUUAAGAGACUGAAAGACAUAAUCCCUCCUGUAUCCCAGGUCUCUGUCUAUUUCUGACCUGUGAGCCAGAUUCAAGGGAUGGGAAGCUUGGAAGAUAUGGAUGGCUUAGAGCCAGGGAGAGAAAAUGGAACACAAGAGGAGGCUUUAUCAUGCAUUUCCUUUAUAAUAGCCAAAAUACCCUUCUGUUCUUUCUCAUACAUCCUGGAGAGAGCACAACUGAAGUGUGAAGAAUUGUUUAAUGGCUUUAGUAAUAGUAUUGAUCUUCUGUCAUUUAAAAAGGGACUCAGGGCUUAAUCAGAUCUGUAGAAGUGUCUCAUUAUUUACUUUGCCAAAGGAAAGGAUUAGAUAUCAGAGAAAGAAAAGGCUCUUCUGCAGGCAUGGGUUUGCUCUGCAGGAUGAAAAUCCAUUCCAUUUACUCUUACCUGUAUAUGUGUUUAAAUAGGAAAUGAUGCAAACAACUCUCUGUGAGAUUCUGCCUAGAGGAA